UACGUAGGGUGCAAGCGUUGUCCGGAUUUAUUGGGCGUAAAGCGCUCGCAGGUGGUUUGUCGCGUCGUUCGUGAAAGACCCCGGCUCAACUGGGGAGGGUCGGGCGAUACGGGCGAACUGGAGGCCAGUAGGGGGAUGCGGAAUUCCGGGUGUAGUGGUGGAAUGCGUAGAGAUCCGGAGGAACACCAGCGGCGAAGGCGGGUUGCUGGGAUGACACUGACGCUGACAGCGCGAAAGCUAGGGGAGCGAACGGG
rnacentral:rRNA from 1 species